rnacentral:rRNA from 1 species
CAGCAGUCGCCACGGUAAUACGUAGGUGGCAAGCGUUGUCCGGAAUUAUUGGGCGUAAAGGGCUCGCAGGCGGUUUCUUAAGUCUGAUGUGAAAGCCCCCGGCUCAACCGGGGAGGGUCAUUGGAGACUGGGAAACUUGAGUGCAGAAGAGGAGAGUGGAAUUCCACGUGUAGCGGUAAAAUGCGUAGAGAUGUGGAGGAACACCAGUGGCGAAGGCGACUCUCUGGUCUGUAACUGACGCUGAGGAGCGAAAGCGUGGGGAGCGAACAGGAUUAGAUACCCCUGUAGUCCCUGUCUCUUAUAC